ensembl:lncRNA
CAACGCCAUUAAAGGGCUGAUGAGAUAAGAGGAGUGUGUGCUUGCGCACUUAACUUUGUGUGUGUUCAGACUCCUGUGCUCACAUUCAUGCUCCAGGGACAAUGGUUAGGUGCUUUGGUCAUGGCAAUGCAUGACUUCAAUUUACAUGUUUGCAUAUUUGACAAUUAACCAAAUUGAUUCCCUGUGUGUGUGUGUGUGUGUGUGUGUGUGUCGACAGCAUCAAAUGUCUGUUUUCCUAAGGAUUUUCAAUUCCGCGUCCACCCUCACAUCAAACAGGUCCAAUAAUGGCACUCCCUCAUUUGCAUACCAUUAAUUAGCCAUUCAUAUUAAACGGCUAAUUAGCAUAUAUAGCAUUCUGUGUUUUGUCAGGGUGAAAGCUAUAGCAGCAAUAACUUUUGCUUUCAUAUCACUUGUUUUUGCUGUCUAUGCAAAUGUGAGUAGUUUGUGAAGGUUUUAAUCAGUUAGCAUGUGUAUGUGCUUGUGAGCAAAAAAAAAAAAAAAAAAAAAAAAAAAAGACUCGGGGAGAGAUGUUCAACAUACCUUUUACAGCAGGCACUGAGAAGUGCUGUCUUGCAGCCACAGUAAAGAGAGGGAGAGUGCAACACACUAAUGAUUUGUGGGUUAUUUCCACCACCAAAAGAAAAAGACUAAUGACUGGUUUUUUUUUUUUAGUUGACAUUUGCUUUGAAGACUGAUAAUGAAGCUCCACUGAGAGAUGCACCACAGCCAAACUUAUCCAUGUAGCUCUAGUAUCAAUGUUUUUAGUGUCUCCCAGGAACGUGUUGUGGGAUAAACCCACCUGAACUUACAGGAACUACCUCAUAGUUUACAAAAGUUUAGCAAUGUACACGAGGUUUAAGUUAGCAAUAGGAAAGCAAACACUUUGAGUUUGACAUUCUUUAAGUUAGUAAUGGGUUUUUGUUCAGUUCUUUGUGCGCCUGUGUUUGAUGUUGUGGUCAUUGUCUAAAUUCUUAGUCAUGCUAGUAUGUGGCAUUGCAAUAUUAAUCCUUUCAGCUUCGUGAAAUA